ensembl:misc_RNA Metazoa_SRP Metazoan signal recognition particle RNA
GCCGGGCGUGGUGGCUCAUGCCUGUAAUCCCAGCACUUUGGGAGGCUGAGGUGGGUGGAUCACCUGAGGUCAGGAGUUCGCGACCAGCCUGGCCAACAUGGUGAAAUCCUGUCUCUA